CCUGUCGUCUGGUUUCAGUUUUGCACAGCUAAUGAAGACAUGAAUGGUACAUGAUGGAAAAUGGAUUGAUUCUUCUUGCAAUGGGAUUGAGGACGAACUCCGAUGCAUUUUAAACAGGUGCUUGUCCAGGAUUUGACGCUAGUGCGGACAGUAACUUUCGUCGUCGGAUAACCCCGAAACCCUUUUUGCGAUGUUUUAUUUGUAUGGUUUGAAAUGGAAAAAGUUAACAGGGGCGGCGCCAGGAUUGGAUGUUAGAGUGGGCGUACCAUAUGGGAGUAACAUUUUGACUUGCACCCAUCUCUCAGCAGCGGGUGAGUUCGACAAUGAACAAGUUCAAGUCUGCAAUGGUGCAUUUUGGGCGUAUUUCAUUAUGUUCUCAUGAAUUGAAAUAAAAAGUAAACGUUAUAAUUAGACGAGUUUAAACUUAAGACGAGUUAAGGGGGGUGCGGAUGCCCCUCCCCCCACUCUGGAGCCGCAAGUGGUUAA